AUUGGACAUGGGUUAACGCCUGAUCCAGCCAUCCCGCGNGAAGGACGACGGCCCUAUGGGUUGUAAACUUCUUUUGUACAGGGAUAAACCUACCCUCGUGAGGGUAGCUGAAGGUACUAGUACGAAUAAGCACCGGCUAACUCCGUGCCAGCAGCCGCGGUAAU
rnacentral:rRNA from 1 species